UGGGGAAUUUUGGACAAUGGGCGCAAGCCUGAUCCAGCAAUGCCGCGUGCAGGAUGAAGGCCUUCGGGUUGUAAACUGCUUUUGUACGGAACGAAAAGGCUCUGGCUAAUACCUGGGGCACAUGACGGUACCGUAAGAAUAAGCACCGGCUAACUACGUGCCAGCAGCCGCGGUAAUACGUAGGGUGCGAGCGUUAAUCGGAAUUACUGGGCGUAAAGCGUGCGCAGGCGGUUUUGUAAGACAGAGGUGAAAUCCCCGGGCUCAACCUGGGAACUGCCUUUGUGACUGCAAGGCUGGAGUGCGGCAGAGGGGGAUGGAAUUCCGCGUGUAGCAGUGAAAUGCGUAGAUAUGCGGAGGAACACCGAUGGCGAAGGCAAUCCCCUGGGCCUGCACUGACGCUCAUGCACGAAAGCGUGGGGAGCAAACAGGAUUAGAUACCCCUGGUAGUCCACGCCCUAAAGCGAUGUCAACUGGCUUGUUGGGGUCUUAAUUGACUCAGUAACGAAGCUAACGCGUGAAGUUGGACCGCCUGGGGAGUACGGCCGCAAGGUUGAAACUC
rnacentral:rRNA from 1 species